rnacentral:rRNA from 1 species
CGUCUGAUUAGCUAGUUGGUGAGGUAAUGGCUCACCAAGGCGACGAUCAGUAGCCGGCCUGAGAGGGUGAACGGCCACACUGGAACUGAGACACGGUCCAGACUCCUACGGGAGGCAGCAGUGGGGAAUAUUGCACAAUGGGCGAAAGCCUGAUGCAGCGACGCCGCGUGAGUGAAGAAGGUCUUCGGAUCGUAAAACUCUGUCCUUGGGGAAGAUAAUGACGGUACCCAAGGAGGAAGCCCCGGCUAACUACG